AUCCUUUUGUAGUUUAUAAACAUAAUGAUUGGGUUUUCAUAUGCAUGUGUGAAAUGUGUUUCCCUCAAACCUUGUUACAGUGUCAGCACAUUACCCUGUGCUGACA
ensembl:snoRNA